rnacentral:tmRNA from 1 species
GGGGCUGACAUGGCUUCGACGGGAACUUUAACAACCAAAUUUGCAAGCGGAGAGUACCUGCCUUAGAGUACAAAAAAAUACGUGCAAACGUUAUGAGCAAAGUCAAAGCUACUGUAGCAAACGCGUUUGGUAGCUUCGUCGCUCAACCAGUAUUCGCCUAAACUCGAAUACCGUGACUGUACUUGAUCUCUACUGAAGUGCAUCGCGUCAUAAUCGUAGGGUAGUAAUUAGGUUUUCAUCGGCCUGAUCACGAGAUUAAGAUGAUGCUAUGACUGGAAAUUUUGUCUGUUUCUAUUCCAGCCAUCUAAGAAAAAUGAAUCUAGCGUGUUCUUUAAGCUCGCCUGGAUUCGCUUAAAUAAACUGUCUAAGCUUGUAGAAGAUUUGGUUCGUUUGUUUUCGGACCCGAGUUCGAUUCUCGGCAGCUCCACCA